rnacentral:rRNA from 1 species
AUGUCUUCUUCGGGCUAUGUCGCUGUUCCUAGGCGUUCGGUGAUCUUUGAUGGCACCAACUAUGCUGAGUUUGUGGGCUUCAUGCGCAUUCAUAUGCGUGGUCUUCUGUGGGGUGUUCUUUCUGGCAAGGUCCCCUGUCCGCCAUGCCCUGUUGCGCCAGUGGCUCCAAUCCCACCGGUGCCACCGGUACUUGCUGCUGAUGCUUCUCAGGCUGACCAGGAUGCAGCCAAGGCUCUCGAUGAUGCUGCCGUCGAUGCUUAUGACCAGCAAGUAUCAGCUUAUUCAGGUGCUCUCUCUGUGUACCGCGACGAUCUGUCUGCUUACACUCAGUGGUGCAAUGAUGAUGCUCGUGCUGCUGUUGUUCUCACUGCAAGCGUCCUCCCUCGGUUUGCUUCGGAGUUCAUGGGACUUGGCACAGUUGCAGCAAUGUGGUCUUAUCUCUGUCAGCGCUAUCAACCCUCUGGUGAUGCUCUCUACCUAUCUGUGGUGCGUCAGGAGCACGCACUCCAGCAAGGUGAUUCCUCUGUUGAUGAGUUCUAUUCACAGUGCCCUGCCAUCUGGCAUCAGCUUGACUCUCUUCGGACAGUUGUUUGCGGAACUUGUCGUUGCUGUCAGAUUACACGGUCCAAUUUGGAGUUUCAGCGGGUUCAUGAGUUCUUAUCUCGACUUUGCUCUGAGUUCGAGCCUUGA